GAUGAAGAACGUAGCGAAACGCGAUAAGUAAUGUGAAUUGCAGAAUCCAGUGAAUCAUCGAAUCUUUGAACGCACAUUGCGCCCGCCAGCAUUCUGGCGGGCAUGCCUGUUCGAGCGUCAUUUCAACCCUCGACCUCCCCUUGGGGAGGUCGGCGUUGGGCACCGACAGCACACCGCCGGCCCUGAAAUGGAGUGGCGGCCCGUCCGCGGCGACCUCUGCGCAGUAAUACAGCUCGCACCGGGACCCCGACGCGGCCACGCCGUAAAACACCCAACUUCUGAACGUUGACCUCGAAUCAGGUAGGACUACCCGCUGAACUUAAGCAUAUCAAUAAGCGGAGGA
rnacentral:misc_RNA from 1 species